GAGCUCAGUCGGCAGACCGUGGGACUCUUGAUCUUAGGGUUGUGGGUUUGAGCCCCACGUUGGGCA